rnacentral:rRNA from 1 species
GAUAAACGCUGGCGGCGUGCAUAACACAUGCAAGUCGAACGAUGAAGAUUAAAAGAUGUGGUCGGAAUGAACUGAAUUGGAGUAGGGGCGGACGGGGGAGUAAGGCGUGAGUAACCGGCCUUGUACAAGGGGAUAGCCGUUGGAAACGACGAAUAAUACCCCAUGAUAUCAAAUAAUGGCAUGAUAAGUUGAUUAAGGAUGUAUCGGUAUAAGAUGGACUCGCGUCUGAUUAGCUAGUUGGCAGAGGAAAAGCCGACUAAGGCGACGAGCAGUAGCCGGCUUGAGAGCGGCUACGGCCGCAUUGAGACUGGGACACGGCCCCGACUCCUACGAGCGGCAGCAGUGGGGACAUUUGCACAAUGAGCGAGACCCUGCUGCAGCGCCGCCGCGUGAUUUAGAAGGCCUUCGGGUUGUAAAAAUCUUUUGUAUGGGAAGAAAAUGACAGUACCAUACGAAUAAGGACCGGCUAAUUACGUG